GGUAGUUCCACGCCCGUAAAAGAAGUNAACUUGGAAGGUUUGUGGCCUUGAGCCCGUGGCCUUNCGGAGAUAACGCGUUAAGUAGACCGCCUGGGGGAGUACGGUCGCAAGAUUAAAACUCAAAAUGAAUUGACGGGGGCCCGCACAAGCGGUGGAGCAUGUGGUUUAAUNNGAUGCAACGCGAAGAACCUUACCUACUCUUGACAUCUACAGAAGCCAGCGGAGACGCAGGUGUGCCUUCGGGAACUGUAAGACAGGUGCUGCAUGGCUGUCGUCAGCUCGUGUUGUGAAAUGUUGGGUUAAGUCCCGCAACGAGCGCAACCCUUAUCCUUGUUUGCCAGCACUUCGGGUGGGAACUCCAGGGAGACUGCCGGUGAUAAACCGGAGGAAGGUGGGGACGACGUCAAGUCAUCAUGGCCCUUACGAGUAGGGCUACACACGUGCUACAAUGGCGCAUACAGAGGGCGGCCAACUUGCGAAAGUGAGCGAAUCCCAAAAAGUGCGUCGUAGUCCGGAUUGGAGUCUGCAACUCGACUCCAUGAAGUCGGAAUCGCUAGUAAUCGUGGAUCAGAAUGCCACGGUGAAUACGUUCCCGGGCCUUGUACACACCGCCCGUCACACCAUGGGAGUGGGCUGCAAAAGAAGUGGGUAGUUUAACCUUCGGGAGGACGCUCACCACUUUGUGGUUCAUGACUGGGGUGAAGUCGUAACAAGGUAACCG
rnacentral:rRNA from 1 species